rnacentral:rRNA from 1 species
GAUGAACGCUAGCGACAGGCUUAACACAUGCAGGUCGAGGGGCAGCGGGGUGUAGCAAUACACUGCCGGCGACCGGCGCACGGGUGCGUAACACGUGUGCAACUUACCUGCAACAGGGGGAUAGGCUCUCGAAAGAGAGAUUAAUACCGCAUAAAACAGGGGUUCCGCAUGGGACUAUUUGUUAAAGAUUUAUCGGUUGUAGAUAGGCACGCGCAACAUUAGGUAGUUGGUGAGGUAACGGCUCACCAAGCCCACGAUGUUUAGGGGUUCUGAGAGGAAGGUCCCCCACACCGGAACUGAGACACGGUCCGGACUCCUACGGGAGGCAGCAGUGAGGAAUAUUGGUCAAUGGUCGAGAGACUGAACCAGCCAAGUCGCGUGAAGGAUGAAGGCGUUAUGCGUUGUAAACUUCUUUUGUAGAGGAAUAAAGUGUGGUACGUGU